rnacentral:lncRNA from 1 species
GAAAGAGCCAUACUCUAAGCCCUUCCCCACAAGAAACUCUGGCAGGUCACUGCCCCAAAAAGACUUAUGGAAGUUGUCCCACAAGGAUGGUGUAAUACUGUGUGACUCAUGAGGCUGGAACAAAUGCAAUCCCUCCCCAAACUUCAGGUAGCCCUCACUGUCUAUUUUUCUGGGUUGAACUUGAAUCCAGCUGCGGGUUCUCUAUGAAAUCAGUUGUUUCCAUGCCAGAAGCCUCUUCCUGCUAAGUGAAAUAAGCAAAAAAUACAAAUUAGAACCAUUAAAACUCAUCAUCUUUCCUGCCCGCAUUUCUUUCCAAGAAGCUUUAAGAAUCUCUUAGCAAUCAUUUAGUCCAGUCCCAGAGAGGGUAUCUAGCCCUGGGGAAUUGGCUCCAGGCUCUUUGUUAGUAAGGUUUCCCUCAUGAUGGACUUGGGACACAUAUCACCUGUUGGCCAUUUCUCCUGAGCCUCCCUCCUGGUCAUCCCUGGCCCCACCCACAUCCCUUCCUGUCCCUAUGAAUUUGAUUCAGUACUGACUACGGCCUGAGCUUGUGGGUUACACUGGGCAAUCCCUCCAUUGUCCCUUAGAGCUCUCGGCACAACCACAAGAUUUUUAUUUGCCUGAUGUCUGUCUUUUGGUUAGUAUUAAACUUGGGACAGGCAGCCCCAGGGCUUCCCCCUACCAUAUCUGCAGGGAUGGACUUCCCUUUCCUCCAGCGAUCCUGGGAGCCCCUCUCCUUAUCUGGCUGUGUUUUCAUCUUCUUGUGUGUCCUCCUUUUGUAGGAGAUUUUUCAGGCACCUGAGCCAUCUGGCACUUUUAGAGUACUCUUAAAGAGGUAGCAGACUCUACCUUCCUCUCAAAAAAAGCUCCCAGAGUGACUUAGCGGUGGGCCCUCAUACUACCAUCAUUGUCCCUAUCAAAAGUGGUCACUGCCCCACUGCCCAAGUGCAAGACGUAAGGCUUGGCACAAAGAGAAUUAACAGUCCGGUCUGGGCCCAUCCUGAAACUGGACCACCCCAGGAAAGGCUGAACCAGGGAGCCAUGGAGUGAUGUCGCACAGGCAUAACCAAGUACAUGGGGCAUGCCUGAAUAGCUGGUGCCUUCUUAAAGAAUGCUAUUUGCUUGGGUGGGGGUGGGAGAGUUUGACCAGAGCAUACGGCAGAAGGUGAGGUCCCACAGUUCUAAUGCUAUCUAUUCCAAGGCUCAGAGGAGAGGGUGAACUAAACUGCAUGAGACAAGCAGACGGAGUCAUUGAGUGAGAGGUCGAAGAGUGUGAGCAAAAAGAGCCACGGCAGCAAAAGUUUGAGGCCGGAUGCCAACCUGGGGCUAAGAGAACAUUCCAGUGGCAAGGGGGCAGGAAGAAUGUUUUUAAAAAUACUUGUGUGUGCGCGUAUGUUUGCCAUAUACAAGGCUGGGUUUCUCCAGAAAAUCCCCAGUUCUCCACAAUACCAAAACACGACCCCUAAGUAUUUCGUGUAGUUGAGUUUUGACUGCAUCUUACACCCAGAUGAUGGGGUAAACGAGCAGACAGAUGUACAGAAGGCAGAAACCAGGAGGCUGUGACGGCCACGCAGUCACAAGCCUCUGAGGAAAGCAUGCAAAGUGGAAUUGCAUCUGAAUUCCCCAGACCUUAAAUCCCAAGGGAGCCUGGCACCCAAUAGGCAAUGUCACCACUUAAAAGUGGAACUUGAUUUGGAAGCUGAAAUGGACCUUGGCUGGAAAGAUCCAUGCAUUGGGAGAUCAGAGGGGGAAGCAUGGCGCGUUCAGGAUGAAUUGAAGAAGUUAGCUAGGCAGAAAUGCAAUGGCUGUGCCGGAAACCAGUGCAGGAAGAGGCAAGAAGAGCCGGGAGCAGGGUUCAGAGAACCGCAAAGCUAAGUUAAAGAGUUUGGACUUUCAACCUGUUGGCAAUUGGGAACCACCAAAGGUUUGUUUGACCUGGGCCAAAUUAGUGCUUGAGAAAAAUGCCCCCAAAGAGGUGUCUGAGGGGCCCUAGAGCAGAGCAAAGAGUGCCUAGAGGCCAAGAGACCAGUUAGGAAACUGCAGGAUCUCAGGGCCUGGACAGAAACAGGGGCUGUCGGGGGGAAAGGAAGGACCAAGACUUGGAAUGGCUGGAGAAGUGAUGGGAACCUGUGAGCCUCUCACUGC